rnacentral:rRNA from 1 species
UCCUACGGGGGGCAGCAGUGGGGAAUAUUGCACAAUGGGGGAAACCCUGAUGCAGCAACGCCGCGUGAGUGAAGAAGUAUUUCGGUAUGUAAAGCUCUAUCAGCAGGGAAGAAAAUGACAGUACCUGUAGAAUAAGCUCCGGCUAACUACGUGCCAGCAGCCGCGGUAAUACGUAGGGAGCAAGCGUUAUCCGGAUUUAUUGGGUGUAAAGGGUGCGUAGACGGGAAUGCAAGUUGGUUGUGAAAUCCCUCGGCUUAACUGAGGAACUGCAACCAAAACUACAUUUCUUGAGUGCUGGAGAGGAA